rnacentral:rRNA from 1 species
UCGAGCGGACGGAUGGGAGCUUGCUCCCUGAAGUCAGCGGCGGACGGGUGAGUAACACGUGGGCAACCUGCCUGUAAGACUGGGAUAACUCCGGGAAACCGGGGCUAAUACCGGAUAACUCUUUUCCUCACAUGAGGAAAAGCUGAAAGAUGGUUUCGGCUAUCACUUACAGAUGGGCCCGCGGCGCAUUAGCUAGUUGGUGAGGUAACGGCUCACCAAGGCCACGAUGCGUAGCCGACCUGAGAGGGUGAUCGGCCACACUGGGACUGAGACACGGCCCAGACUCCUACGGGAGGCAGCAGUAGGGAAUCUUCCGCAAUGGACGAAAGUCUGACGGAGCAACGCCGCGUGAGUGAUGAAGGUUUUCGGAUCGUAAAACUCUGUUGUCAGGGAAGAACAAGUACCGGAGUAACUGCCGGUACCUUGACGGUACCUGACCAGAAAGCCACGGCUAACUACGUGCCAGCAGCCGCGGUAAUACGUAGGUGGCAAGCGUUGUCCGGAAUUAUUGGGCGUAAAGCGCGCGCAGGCGGUUCCUUAAGUCUGAUGUGAAAGCCCCCGGCUCAACCGGGGAGGGUCAUUGGAAACUGGGGAACUUGAGUGCAGAAGAGAAGAGUGGAAUUCCACGUGUAGCGGUGAAAUGCGUAGAGAUGUGGAGGAACACCAGUGGCGAAGGCGACUCUUUGGUCUGUAACUGACGCUGAAGCGCGAAAGCGUGGGGAGCAAACAGGAUUAGAUACCCUGGUAGUCCACGCCGUACACGAUGAGUGCUAAGUGUUAGAGGGUUUCCGCCCUUUAGUGCUGCACCACACGCAUUAAGCACUCCGCCUGGGGAGUACAGCCUCAAGGCUGAAACUCAAAGGAGUUGAGGUGGGCCCGCGCAAUCUGUGGAGCAUGUGGUUGAAUUCGCAGCAGCGCGAAUAACCUUACAAGGUCUGGACAUCUCCUGACGACCCUACAGAUAGGGCGGUCGCCUCCUGGGACA